rnacentral:rRNA from 1 species
AUGCACGCUGGCGGCGUGCCUAAUACAUGCCAGUCGAGCGAACAGAUGAGGAGCUUGCUCCUCUGACGUUAGCGGCGGACGGGUGAGUAACACGUGGAUAACCUACCUAUAAGACUGGGAUAACUUCGGGAAACCGGAGCUAAUACCGGAUAAUAUAUUGAACCGCAUGGUUCAAUAGUGAAAGACGGUUUUGCUGUCACUUAUAGAUGGAUCCGCGCCGCAUUAGCUAGUUGGUAAGGUAACGGCUUACCAAGGCAACGAUGCGUAGACGACCUGAGAGGGUGAUCGGCCACACUGGAACUGAGACACGGUCCAGACUCCUACGGGAGGCAGCAGUAGGGAAUCUUCCGCAAUGGGCGAAAGCCUGACGGAGCAACGCCGCGUGAGUGAUGAAGGUCUUCGGAUCGUAAAACUCUGUUAUUAGGGAAGAACAAAUGUGUAAGUAACUAUGCACGUCUUGACGGUACCUAAUCAGAAAGCCACGGCUAACUACGUG